rnacentral:rRNA from 1 species
CAGUCGCCGCGGUAAUACGUAGGUGGCAAGCGUUGUCCGGAAUUAUUGGGCGUAAAGGGCUCGCAGGCGGUUUCUUAAGUCUGAUGUGAAAGCCCCCGGCUCAACCGGGGAGGGUCAUUGGAAACUGGGAAACUUGAGUGCAGAAGAGGAGAGUGGAAUUCCACGUGUAGCGGUGAAAUGCGUAGAGAUGUGGAGGAACACCAGUGGCGAAGGCGACUCUCUGGUCUGUAACUGACGCUGAGGAGCGAAAGCGUGGGGAGCGAACAGGAUUAGAUACCCGCGUAGUCCCUGUCUCUUAUAU